rnacentral:SRP_RNA from 2 species
GCUGGGUGUGGUGGCCCAUGCCUGUAAUCCCAGCUACUCUGGAGGCUGAGACAGGAGAAUCGCUUGAACCCGGGAGGUGGAGGUUGCAGUGAGCUGAGAUGGCGUCACUGCACUCCAGUCUGGGUGACAGAGUGAGACUCUGUCUCAC